rnacentral:rRNA from 1 species
GAUGAACGCUGGCGGCGUGCCUAACACAUGCAAGUCGAGCGAACAGACGAGGCGCUUGCUCCGCUGACGUUACCGGCGGAUGGGUGAGUAACACGAGGCUAACCGACCUAUAAGAAUGGGAUAACGUCGGGAGACCGGAGAUAACACAGGAUAAGAUAGUGAAACGGAGGGUUCAAUAGUGAUAGACGGAUUUGCUGUCACUUAUACAUGGAUCCGCGCCGCAUUAGCUAGUUGGUAGGGUAACGGCUUACCAAGGCGACGAUGCGUAGCCGAUCUGAGAGGAUGAUCGGCCACACUGGAACUGAGACACGGUCCAGACUCCUACGGGAGGCAGCAGUAGGGAAUCUUCCGCAAUGGGCGAAAGCCUGACGCAGCAACGCCGCGUGAGUGAUGAAGGUCUUCGGAUCGUAAAGCUCUGUUAUUAGGGAGGAACAAAUGUGAGAGUAACUAUGGCCGUCUUGACGGUACCUAAUCAAAAAGCCACGGCUAACUACGUG